GUGGGUGUAGCUCAGUGGUAGAGCGCAUGCUUAGCAUGUGUGAGGUCCUGGGUUCAAUCCCCAGUCCCUCCA
rnacentral:tRNA from 1 species